rnacentral:rRNA from 1 species
UCAGUCGUACGUCGUUACCGAGUUUACACUCCCAAACCCUUAUGUGAACCGUACCUAUCGUUGCUUCGGCGGGAACGCCCCGGCGCCCUGCGCCCGGAUCCAGGCGCCCGCCGGAGACCCCAAACUCUUGUGUUUUUUUCAGUAUUCUCUGAGUGGCAAACGCAAAAAUAAAUCAAAACUUUUAACAACGGAUCUCUUGGCUCUGGCAUCGAUGAAGAACGCAGCGAAAUGCGAUAAGUAAUGUGAAUUGCAGAAUUCAGUGAAUCAUCGAAUCUUUGAACGCACAUUGCGCCCGUUAGCAUUCUAGCGGGCAUGCCUGUCCGAGCGUCAUUUCAACCCUCAGGGUCCCCGUUCCGGCGGGGAACCUGGUGUUGGGGAUCGGCCCGCCCCGCGCGGCGCCGUCCCCCAAAUUCAGUGGCGGUCUCGCUGCAGCCUCCCCUGCGUAGUAGUUACAACCUCGCAUCGGAGCUCAGCGCGGCCACGCCGUAAAACCCCCGACUUUCUGAACGUUGACCUCGGAUCAGGUAGGAAUACCCGCUGAACUUAAGCAUAUCAAAAGCCGGAGGAA